rnacentral:lncRNA from 1 species
AUGUCCGUUGAGUCGGUGAUGCCAUCCAACCAUCUCAUCCUCUGUUGGCUCCUCCUCCUCCAGCCUUCAAUCUUUCCCAGCAUCAGGCUCUUUUCCAAUGAGUCAGUUCUUCGCAUCAGGUGGCCAAAGUAUUGCAGUUUCAGCUUCAGCAUCAGUCCUUCCAAUGAAUAUUCAGGACUGAUUUCCUUUAGGAUGGACUGGUUGGAUCUCCUUGCAGUCCAAGGGACUCUCAAGAGUCUUCUCCAACACCACAAUUCGAAAGCANNNNNNNNNNNNNNNNNNNNNNNNNNNNNNNNNNNNNNNNNNNNNNNNNNNNNNNNNNNNNNNNNNNNNNNNNNNNNNNNNNNNNNNNNNNNNNNNNNNNCCUUUGUUAGCAAAGUAAUGUCUCUGCUUUUUAAUAUGCCGUCUAGGUUGGUCAUAACUUUUCUUCCAAGGAGUAAGCGUCUUUUAAUUUCAUGGCUGCAGUCACCAUCUGCAGUGAUUUUGGAGCCCCCCAAAAUAAAGUCUGACACUGUUUCCACUGUUUCCCCAUCUAUUUCCCAUGAAGUGAUGGGACCGGAUGCCAUGAUCUUCGUUUUCUGAAUGUUGAGCUUUAGGCCAACUUUUUCACUCUCCUCUUUCACUUUCAUCAAGAGGCUUUUUAGUUCCUCUUCACUUUCUGCCAUAAGGGUGGUGUCAUCUGCAUAUCUGAGGUUAUUGAUAUUUCUCCCAGCAAUCUUGAUUCCAGCUUGUGUUUCUUCCAGUCCAGUGUUUCUCAUGAUGUACUCUGCAUAUAAGUUAAAUAAGCAGGGUGACAAUAUACAGCCUUGAUGUACUCCUUUUCCUAUUUGGAACCAGUCUGUUGUUCCAUGUCCAGUUCUAACUGUUGCUUCCUGACCUGCAUACAGAUUUCUCAAGAGGCAGGUCAGGUGGUCUGGUAUUCCCAUCUCUUUCAGAAUUUUCCACAGUUUAUUGUGAUCCACACAGUCAAAGGCUUUGGCAUAGUCAAUAAAGCAGAAAUAGAUGUUUUUCUGGAACUCUCUUGCUUUUUCCAUGAUCCAGUGGAUGUUGGCAAUUUGAUCUCUGGUUCCUCUGCCUUUUCUAAAACCAGCUUGAACAUCUGGAAGUUCACGGUUCAUGUAUUGCUGAAGCCUGGCUUGGAGAAUUUUGAGCAUUACUUUACUAGCAUGUGAGAUGAGUGCAAUUGUGCGGUAGUUUGUGCAUUUUUUGCAUUGCCUUUCUUUGGGAUUGGAAUGAAAACUGACCUUUUCCAGUCCUGUGGCCACUGCUGAGUUUUCCAAAUUUGCUGGCAUAUUGAGUGCAGCACUUUCACAGCAUCAUCUUUCAGGAUUUGAAAUAGCUCAACUGGAAUUCCAUCACCUCCACUAGCUUUGUUUGUAGUGAUGCUUUCUAAGGCCCACUUGACUUCACAUUCCAGGAUGUCUGGCUCUAGGUGAGUGAUCACACGAUUGUGAUUAUCUGGGUCAUGAAGCUCUUUUUUGUACAGUUCUUCUGGGUAUUCUUGCCACCUCUUCUUAAUAUCUUCUGCUUCUGUUAGGUCCAUACCAUUUCUGUCCUUUAUCGAGCCCAUCUUUGCAUGAAAUGUUCCCUUGGUAUCUCUAAUUUUCUUGAAGAGAUCUCUAGUCUUUCCCAUUCUGUUGUUUUCCUCUAUUUCUUUGCAUUGAUGGCUGAAACUAUUACGUGACCAAUAGUAUUAGAGAGAGAAGGAGGAUCACUAGAGAUUAUAUACACACUAAGUAGAUAACAUGGGACGAGUAUGAACAAUAUCAUGUCAACAUAGUCAAUAACUGAAAUGGAAAUGGACAUAUUCCUUAAGGACACAAACUAUCAAAACUAGCAUAGGAAGAAACAGAAGCUAACAGGGCAAAUUAUAGCUGAGUGAAAAAGAAAAGAUAAAAGGGAAAUACAUGAAAUAGAAAAAUGAUAGAGAAAAUGAAAGAAACCAAAAUCUGGGUCUUUGAAAUGGUAACAAAAUUCGCAAAUCUUUAGCACGCCUGAAUGAGAAAAAGAGCAGUCUCAAAUUAUUAAAAUUGAGAAUGAAAAAAUAGACAUUACUACUAACUUUACAGAAGUAAGAAGAGCUAUAGGGCAAUACUAUGAACAGCUG